CACCGAAAAAAAUAUUUUUCUACAAUACUACCAGAACGUAUAGUAGUUAAAAAUAUAGUUAUACCUACUAAAAUCCGGUAGUAAUAACAAAAAAUGUUGUAUCGUGUAAAACUUGUUUUUUAAACAUCACUGUUUAAUUCUAGUUAAAUGCAAUUUAGUACUGCUUACAAUUUCGUUGUAUAUGUAAAGAUGCAAGUGUUGUAAAUAUUAAACUUUUGUCUCGUUUAAUAUAUGCAUCGUAACACUAACUAUUGAUAUGUAAAAAUAAAGAUACGAGUGUACACGUUACAAGUUAUUAUGUUAUGGCUACUAUAAUGCAUUGUAUUCUGAACGAAUCAAACAGUUGUGCCACAAGUCAUGGAACAGCCAUUGCCCCAGCGUCUUUCGUUGCGACGGUCGGUGUUUUUAUUUACUUAGAUCCUGUCCAUAAUUUAAUUGUAAACUAGUACAAGUGUAUAGUAUAAGUGUGCUUAAAAACUUGUCUGUUUUGUGAACAUGGACGAAGACCUAAGAAACCAUCUAAUAACGUGGAACCUGGAGCAAAAUACGGAAAUUUUCGAAAGUGCAGCCACUACUCUACCUAAAAGUAUAACCAAAUCCCUCGUGGGGGCAGUCUUGUUAACCUAGCCUGCUAGACCCUUUAAUUCAUACUGUUCUUGAUAUACUUUAAAUAUUUAGAAAACCAAUAAUAAAGCGUUUGAUUUUA